rnacentral:rRNA from 1 species
GAUGAACGCUGGCGGCGUGCCUAAUACAUGCAAGUCCAGCGAACAGACGAGGAGCUUGCUCCUCUGACGUUAGCGGCGGACGGGUGAGUAACACGUGGAUAACCUACCUAUAAGACUGGGAUAACUUCGGGAAACCGGAGCUAAUACCGGAUAAUAUAUUGAACCGCAUGGUUCAAUAGUGAAAGACGGUUUUGCUGUCACUUAUAGAUGGAUCCGCGCCGCAUUAGCUAGUUGGUAAGGUAACGGCUUACCAAGGCAACGAUGCGUAGCCGACCUGAGAGGAUGAUCAGCCACACUGGAACUGAGACACGGUCCAGACUCCUACGGGAGGCAGCAGUAGGGAAUCUUCCGCAAUGGGCGAAAGCCUGACGGAGCAACGCCGCGUGAGUGAUGAAGGUCUUCGGAUCGUAAAACUCUGUUAUUAGGGAAGAACAAAUGUGUAAGUAACUAUGCACGUCUUGACGGUACCUAAUCAGAAAGCCACGGCUAACUACGUG